rnacentral:rRNA from 1 species
AACGAACGCUGGCGGCAGGCCUAACACAUGCAAGUCGAACGCUCCGCAAGGGGAGUGGCAGACGGGUGAGUAACACGUGGAACCUUCCCAUCGCUACGGAAUAGCUCAGGGAAACUUGGGGUAAUACCGUAUACGCCCGAAAGGGGAAAGAUUUAUCGGCGAUGGAUGGGCCCGCGGCUGAUUAGCUAGUUGGUGAGGUAACGGCUCACCAAGGCGACGAUCAGUAGCUGGUCUGAGAGGACGACCAGCCACACUGGGACUGAGACACGGCCCAGACUCCUACGGGAGGCAGCAGUGGGGAAUAUUGGACAAUGGGCGCAAGCCUGAUCCAGCCAUGCCGCGUGAGUGACGAAGGUCUUCGGAUUGUAAAGCUCUUUUGGCGGGGACGAUAAUGACGGUACCCGCAGAAUAAGCCCCGGCUAACUUCGUGCCAGCAGCCGCGGUAAU